rnacentral:misc_RNA from 2 species
CCGAGAGAGGGCCUCGAGCCCGACCUCCAACCCUUUGAAGUUACCCAACUCUGUUGCCUCGGGGGGCGACCCGGCCGCCGCGCCGGGACCCCCGACGGACCACACCACUCUGCGUUUCUGCGUCGGAGUUUGAAGGGAAAUCAAUCA